CCUACGGGAGGCAGCAGUGGGGAAUAUUGGGCAAUGGAGGAAACUCUGACCCAGCAACGCCGCGUGAAUGAUGAAGGUCUUCGGAUUGUAAAGUUCUUUUCUUAGGGAAGUAGAAAGUUACGGUACCUUAGGAAUAAGCCUCGGCUAACUACGUGCCAGCAGCCGCGGUAAUACGUAGGAGGCGAGCGUUAUCCGGAAUGACUGGGCGUAAAGGUUGCGUAGGUUGUUUGGCAAGUUAGUAGCGUAGGUCCAGGGCUCAACCUUGUAAUUGCAACUAAAACUGUUUGACUUGAGUACAGGAGGGGAAAGCGGAAUUCGUAGUGUAGCGGUGGAAUGCUUAGAUAUCAGGAGGAACACCGGUGGCGAAGGCGGGUCGCUAGACUGUAACUGACACUGAGGCACGAAAGUGUGGGGAGCAAACAGGAUUAGAUACCCUAGUAGUC
rnacentral:rRNA from 1 species